CCCUUAGAGUUUGAUCCUGGCUCAGGAUGAACGCUAGCUACAGGCUUAACACAUGCAAGUCGAGGGGCAGCAUUUUAGUUUGCUUGCAAACUAAAGAUGGCGACCGGCGCACGGGUGAGUAACACGUAUCCAACCUGCCGAUAACUCAGGGAUAGCCUUUCGAAAGAAAGAUUAAUACCUGAUGGCAUAGGAUUAUCGCAUGAUAAUCCUAUUAAAGAAUUUCGGUUAUCGAUGGGGAUGCGUUCCAUUAGGCAGUUGGUGAGGUAACGGCUCACCAAACCUUCGAUGGAUAGGGGUUCUGAGAGGAAGGUCCCCCACAUUGGAACUGAGACACGGUCCAAACUCCUACGGGAGGCAGCAGUGAGGAAUAUUGGUCAAUGGACGGGAGUCUGAACCAGCCAAGUAGCGUGAAGGAUGACUGCCCUAUGGGUUGUAAACUUCUUUUAUACGGGAAUAAAGUGAUCCACGUGUGG
rnacentral:rRNA from 1 species